GACGAACGCUGGCGGCGUGCCUAAUACAUGCAAGUAGAACGCUGAAGGAGGAGCUUGCUUCUCCGGAUGAGUUGCGAACGGGUGAGUAACGCGUAGGUAACCUGCCUGGUAGCGGGGGAUAACUAUUGGAAACGAUAGCUAAUACCGCAUAACAGUAGAUGUUGCAUGACAUUUGCUUAAAAGGUGCAAUUGCACCACUACCAGAUGGACCUGCGUUGUAUUAGCUAGUUGGUGAGGUAACGGCUCACCAAGGCGACGAUACAUAGCCGACCUGAGAGGGUGAUCGGCCACACUGGGACUGAGACACGGCCCAGACUCCUACGGGAGGCAGCAGUAGGGAAUCUUCGGCAAUGGACGGAAGUCUGACCGAGCAACGCCGCGUGAGUGAAGAAGGGUGUCGGAUCGUAAAGCUCUGUUGUAAGAGAAGAACGAGUGUGAGAGUGGAAAGUUCACACUGUGACGGUAGCUUACCAGAAAGGGACGGCUAACUACGUG
rnacentral:rRNA from 1 species